GUGACCUGCGGAAGGAUCAUUAUUGAAAUUACCGGCGAGGGUUGUAGCUGGCCUUUCGGGGCAUGUGCACGCCCGAGCCUUUAAUCCAACAUACACCUGUGAACCCAAUGUAAGGGCCCGUAAAAAGGCCCCUACGUCUUUAUCACCAACUCUGUAUUCAUAGAAUGUAAUCCAUAUCUUCGCCUUAACAAGCGUUGGUAAAACUUAUACAACUUUCAACAACGGAUCUCUUGGCUCUCGCAUCGAUGAAGAACGCAGCGAAAUGCGAUAAGUAAUGUGAAUUGCAGAUUUUCAGUGAAUCAUCGAAUCUUUGAACGCACCUUGCGCCCCUUGGUAUUCCGAGGGGCAUGCCUGUUUGAGUGUCAUUAAAUUCUCAACUCCGAUUUGAUUUGUUUCUUAUCGGAGCUUGGACUUUGGAGCGUGCUGGCGUAAGGUCGGCUCCUCUUAAAUGUAUCAGCGGAAUCUAACCUUUGGAUUCUGGACAUCGGUGUGAUAAUAAAAGUUGCGCCGUCGUUCUACUUCAAAGUCCGCUUACAAUGGUCUUUUGACAAACUCUUAUCAAAUUUGACCUCAAAUCAGGUAGGACUACCCGCUGAACUUAAGCAUAUCA
rnacentral:rRNA from 1 species